GAUUUCUGGCCUGAAACAUUUUGCCGGCCACGGUUUCGUGUGUUAGUGCUUGAUGUUCUGGCCAUCCUUCCAAUUGCUAUUCAUCUUUCUUCAUUGAUGGGUGAGUGGUAUUGGAUCUUUUACUUUGAAAAAAUUAGAGUGUUUCAAGCAGGCUUUAUGCUAUGAAUACAUUAGCAUGGAAUAAUAAUUUAGGACUUCGGUUCUAUUUUGUUGGUUUCUAGGACUGAAGUAAUGAUUGAUAGGGAUAGUUGGGGGUGCUAGUAUUCAGCGGCCAGAGGUGAAAUUCUCGGAUUCGCUGAAGACUAACUUAUGCGAAAGCAUU
rnacentral:rRNA from 1 species